rnacentral:lncRNA from 1 species
CCAUCUUUAGACCCAAUCAAAGAGGGUUUGUUUUAAAAAGAAAAGAAAUAGAAAGAUGGGUUUUUUUUUCUUUUACUUUUACAAGGUUAGGUUAGAGAUAGAGAGGAGACGAGAAUCGAGGACUAGAAUCUCUUAUGCCCUUUGACCAAUGUCUUUAUACACACAUACCCUUCUAUGUUCUUAAUACCUUUUGUCCAUAUAUUGACCAAUUUAAAGACAUAUUUUGGAAAAGAAUCUCUUGUGCCCUUUAACCAAAGUCUUUAUACAAUGAUACCCUUCAAUGUUCUUAAUACCCUUUGACUAUAUGUUGACAAAUUUAUACCCAUAUUUUACCCCUCAUAUUUUAUUGAUUUAAUUUAAGUAAAAAAGAAAAAAAAACGUAGACCCUACCUUCAUCUUCCUCUCUCCUUCAACCAUGAUUCCUCCGGAUCUCCAUCGACAAGCUUCUCCUCACAGUUACUCCCUAUCGUCAUUCAUCAACACGAAAACCC